GACGAACGCUGGCGGCGUGCUUAACACAUGCAAGUCGAGCGGAAAGGCCACUUCGGUGGUACUCGAGCGGCGAACGGGUGAGUAACACGUGAGUAAUCUGCCCCUGGCUUUGGGAUAGCCACCGGAAACGGUGAUUAAUACCGGAUAUGCACUGCUUCUCGCAUGGGUUGUGGUGGAAGUUUUUCGGCCAGGGAUGUGCUCGCGGCCUAUCAGCUUGAUGGUGAGGUAAUGGCUCACCAUGGCUUCGACGGGUAGCCGGCCUGAGAGGGUGACCGGUCACACUGGGACUGAGACACGGCCCAGACUCCUACGGGAGGCAGCAGUGGGGAAUAUUGGACAAUGGGCGGAAGCCUGAUCCAGCAACGCCGCGUGAGGGAUGACGGCCUUCGGGUUGUAAACCUCUUUCAGCAGGGACGAAGCGCAAGUGACGGUACCUGCAGAAGAAGCACCGGCUAACUACGUGCCAGCAGCCGCAGUAACAC
rnacentral:rRNA from 1 species